UAUCAAUAAGCGGUGGAAAAGAAACUAACCAGGAUUCCCCUAGUAACGGCGAGUGAACAGGGAUUAGCCCAGCACCGAAGUCUGCGUCCGUUUGGGCGUUGGACAAUGUGGUGUUUAGGUUAGCACUUUUGGAUGUUGCUCCGUUCAAAGUCCAUUCAUGAAUAUGGCAAUUAGUUUGGCCCAGAGAGGGUGAAAGGCCCGUGUGGAUGGAGCGACGUUCGACUGUGUUGACUAUUGAGUCGGGUUGUUUGAGAAUGCAGCCCAAAGUUGGUGGUAAACUCCAUCUAAGGCUAAAUACUGGCACGAGUCCGAUAGCGAACAAGUACCGUGAGGGAAAGUUGAAAAGUACUCUGAAGAGAGAGUUAACAGUGCGUGAAACCGCUUAGAAGCAAACGGGUGUAGUCAAGCUGCAAGCCUCAAGAAAUAGGUGGGUCAGAAUGGCGUGAGUCUGAGCACAUAGAGCUGUCAGGUGGGUUCGACUAUAUGUCGAGUUUGGCCCGUAAGGGUUGAAUUUGCGGAGCGUCAUUCGGCGUUGCAAGCCUGUCUGUCAGUUGCUCUACUGACCCACUCACUUUCUUUUGGCGUGUGUCACGACCGUCUUAGCUGCCGGUCUGCUCCAUUUAAACCGCUUCGUAAGUAGUCUCGUGCUUCUUGCGUUGCGGGGGCAGGUAGCUGGCCUGGUUCGCCAGGUCAGUGUAAUUGCUGAGUGGAGUGGUAUCCUUAACUGUGCAGUACGACGUGGCUGGCGGUGCAUUGUUGCUGGGCGCGCUAUAGUGUGUCGGCGUAGUUGGCGUAUGGCUGCUUGUUGCUGUUAAUAACGGCCUAGUGGUUGCCCGACUGCGGUUUGAUGCGCGGCUGUGUCCGGUCAAUCUUGCGUUGUGCCUAUAGUCUGUGACUUAGUGGUAGACGAUCCACCCGA
rnacentral:rRNA from 1 species